rnacentral:rRNA from 1 species
GAUGAACGCUGGCGGCGUGCCUAAUACAUGCAAGUCGAGCGAACGGACGAGAAGCUUGCUUCUCUGAUGUUAGCGGCGGACGGGUGAGUAACACGUGGAUAACCUACCUAUAAGACUGGGAUAACUUCGGGAAACCGUAGCUAAUACCGGAUAAUAUUUUGAACCGCAUGGUUCAAAAGUGAAAGACGGUCUUCCUGUCACUUAUAGAUGGAUCCGCGCUGCAUUAGCUAGUUGGUAAGGUAACGGCUUACCAAGGCAACGAUGCAUAGCCGACCUGAGAGGGUGAUCGGCCACACUGGAACUGAGACACGGUCCAGACUCCAACGGGAGGCAGCAGUAGGGAAUCUUCCGCAAUGGGCGAAAGCCUGACGGAGCAACGCCGCGUGAGUGAUGAAGGUCUUCGGAUCGUAAAACCCUGUUAUUAGGGAAGAACAUAUGUGUAAGUAACUGUGCACAUCUUGACGGUACCUAAUCAGAAAGCCACGGCUAACUACGUG